AGUGAACGCUGGCGGUAGGCCUAACACAUGCAAGUCGAACGGCAGCACAGUAAGAGCUUGCUCUUACGGGUGGCGAGUGGCGGACGGGUGAGGAAUACAUCGGAAUCUACUUUUUCGUGGGGGAUAACGUAGGGAAACUUACGCUAAUACCGCAUACGACCUACGGGUGAAAGCAGGGGAUCUUCGGACCUUGCGCGAUUGAAUGAGCCGCUGUCGGAUUAGCUAGUUGGCGGGGUAAAGGCCCACCAAGGCGACGAUCCGUAGCCGGUCUGAGAGGAUGAUCAGCCACACUGGAACUGAGACACGGUCCAGACUCCUACGGGAGGCAGCAGUGGGGAAUAUUGGACAAUGGGCGCAAGCCUGAUCCAGCCAUACCGCGUGGGUGAAGAAGGCCUUCGGGUUGUAAAGCCCUUUUGUUGGGAAAGAAAAGCAGCAGGUUAAUACCCCGCUGUUCUGACGGUACCCAAAGAAUAAGCACCGGCUAACUUCGUG
rnacentral:rRNA from 1 species